rnacentral:rRNA from 1 species
ACGAACGCUGGCGGCGUGCUUAACACAUGCAAGUCGAACGGAAAGGCCCUGCUUUUGUGGGGUGCUCGAGUGGCGAACGGGUGAGUAACACGUGAGUAACCUGCCCUUGACUUUGGGAUAACUUCAGGAAACUGGGGCUAAUACCGGAUAGGAGCUCCUGCUGCAUGGUGGGGGUUGGAAAGUUUCGGCGGUUGGGGAUGGACUCGCGGCUUAUCAGCUUGUUGGUGGGGUAGUGGCUUACCAAGGCUUUGACGGGUAGCCGGCCUGAGAGGGUGGCCGGGCACAUUGGGCCUGAGAUACGGCGCAGACUCCUACGGGAGGCAGCAGUGGGGAAUAUUGCACAAUGGGCGGAAGCCAGAUGCAGCAACGCCGCGUGCGGGAUGACGGCCUUCGGGUUGUAAACCGCUUUCGCCUGUGACGAAGCGUGAGUGACGGUAAUGGGUAAAGAAGCACCGGCUAACUACGUG